CUAAAUGUCUUCUUCCUCACCUCGGUAUAUAUUCUCAUUGCAGUAGGAUCAAGAUAUUUUGAAGGGAGGUAUGGCGAUCUAAGCAGUCAGUGGAUGCGGGGAGUGGAGGGUGAAAAUUGACAGAUGGCCAGUCGGCUAGCUGGCGAAUUUGUUGAUGUGUUUUUCCCCUCUAGUGGUUGCUAUCGUUUCCUCAAAGUUGUUUAUUAUUGAUCGUUGUUGUUUGAAAGCGAGAAAAAAUUUUCAAAGCGUUUGCAAAAUAACAUAAACUUAAUCAAACUAAAAGGAAAAUCAACCACCUUGUUUUAACUGACGUUCUCUCCAGGCGACCGGCUAGGAGAACCACGUGAGCGUUGAAUGGAGCAAGUUACCAGUAGGUAAACCAGUAGAUGGCAUGCGAUGGAGACAAGUUGUUUUCUGAAAUUUCACGCAAAGAAAGCUUAUCAUACCAGGCGAAGACAGAUAGAUAGCAAUGUAACAUGGCUCGAUGAAAAUGUCGAAUGUAUUCUACGCUAGUUUUCUCUAAAAACGUGUGGCUUCGGGAGAAAACAAACGGGCAAUCACAGAGUUCGCCGUUCUGAAUAACGACUCUGAUGAUGAAGAGAAGGCAGCAUCUCUAUUACCAUCAACUAGCAGCUUGGUUAUUAGUUAAGGUUCUACCAGUGCCUGAAGUUAUCCUAGGUCAGUGUCAUUCAAUUCGCAAUAUUUUCCCGUAUCGCAUUUAUUGAUCAAUAAAUGAAU